AUUGAAUGCUGGCGGCAGGCCUAACACAUGCAAGUCGAACGAGUGGCGGACGGGUGAGUAAUGUCUGGGAAACUGCCUGACGGAGGGGGAUAACUACUGGAAACGGUAGCUAAUACCGCAUACCAUCAGAUGUGCCCAGACGGGAUUAGCUAGUUGGUGGGGUAACGGCUCACCAAGGCGACGAUCCCUAGCUGGUCUGAGAGGAUGACCAGCCAAACUUGAACUGAGACAAGUUCCAGACUCCUACGGGAGGCAUCAGUGGGGGAAAUUGCACAAUUGGCGCAAGCCUGAUGCAGCCAUGCCGCGUGUAUGAAGAAGGCCUUCGGGUUGUAAAGUAAUUUCAGCGGGGCGGCGUUACCCGCAGAAGAAGCACCGGCUAACUCCGUGCCAACAGCCGCGGUAAUAC
rnacentral:rRNA from 1 species